GAUGGAUUGGCAGCAUUUACAGUUAUUUUCUCCGUGCUAAGGUGGCUCUUGGAAAGGGCAAGAGCAGCCUGGAGGAAGCUGUGCUCCCAAUCCCACUGAGUACAGCAGUGAUGUUGUCACUGCUGGUUGUCAUUUGAAUGUCACUGUGCCAUGGGAAGAGACACUCCAUGGAAAGGAUCUGAAUUCUCCUGAGCAGCAGCAUCUGAGACUUCACAUCACAUCUCGCUCCUCAUCCACCAAAGUGCUCCCGCAGGCAGCAAAUUGGCACUUUGCAAGUGAAUACAGAAGGUGAAAUGUGGAAGGUGUCAGCAAAAGGCACUUGAGUGAGCAAUUCAGAGCUGGGGGAUGUACCAGGUCAGAAAAUGGUACUAUCUAUGACACUCCAGUGUGCUUUAAAGCCCUCCAAUUAACUGCACUCUUUGGGGUUGGGCAGCUGACACAACCCUCACAAACCCCAGGAAUCCCAAAGCUCGAGCAUCGCUUCCCGUGGGUGUUUCUAAGGGGGAGAAGACACUGAACACUUUCGUUUUCUGUGUAAAUAUUGGCACCCCUACACGCCCAAAAAAGGAUUCUGAGAGCCCCCGAGUUUCUAAACACCAGGAGGGAGGAGAGUGCAGCCCACAGUCGCCUGCAGAGCAACAAGGAUUAGCCUCAGGGAUGCUGAACUUCACACCAAAGCCAGGUUUUAUUUGCCUGUUGACAGAGUGAAUGGCUUUGUUGGUCUUUCCAACUCAGACAGUAAAGGUAUCACUAAUCGAGCAAAGGCAGAACAAAAACUGGUGGCUUAAAGCUGAAACUAAAGAAAUC